UACGGAGGGGACUAGCGUUGUUCGGAAUUACUGGGCGUAAAGCGCGCGUAGGCGGAUUUGCAAGUCGGGGGUGAAAUCCCGAGGCUCAACCUCGGAACUGCCUUCGAUACUGCAAAUCUCGAGUCCGGAAGAGGUGAGUGGAAUUCCUAGUGUAGAGGUGAAAUUCGUAGAUAUUAGGAAGAACACCAGUGGCGAAGGCGACUAACUGGACAUGUAUUGACGCUGAGGUGCGAAAGCGUGGGGAGCAAACAGG
rnacentral:rRNA from 1 species